CAGGGUUCUGUAUUUGGGCCAUUCUAUAAAUAGUGAAGGCAAAAUAAUGGAGACCUGGGGAUCUGAAGACUCUAGAAACCUCUGGGAAGUUUGAGAAGAUUCUAGCAAAGAACCCUGGUGAAAAGAGCUCAUCCUGAUCAUCAAACACUGCGAAGAUAAAUAAGUGCAGUCUAUUUUCUGAAAUCUUCCCUAUUUUGUGAACAUUUUAAUGAAUCCCCACUGAAUAUGAACUUGGUGCUUAUCUGCAAUAUUUUCAAAGAGUAAGUUUCUAUGGCUGUGAAAACUUAAGAUUCUUAUGACACACUGAAUUCUGCUCACCAGAAAUGUAUCUUCAUUUACAUGUACAACCACAGUUUAAAACAGAUUUG